rnacentral:rRNA from 1 species
AUGCACGAUAGUGCAGUGGGCUGCCACUCUGGUGCAUCCGCAACUUACCACCGCAUCAAGAAAUGCUUUGCGUGGAAGGGCUUGAAAACGGCAGUGGAGGAAUACGUGCGCCAGUGCACUGUCUGCCAGCAAGCGAAACAUGAACUUCAGAAACCUGCUGGCAAAUUGGCACCUUUACCCAUCCCAACAGCACCUUGGCAAGAUCUCAUGAUGGAUUUCGUUGAAGGGCUUCCCAAGUCGGAGGGCUAUGAUGCGAUUAUGGUGGUCGUGGAUCGCUUCACGAAGUUCGCGCAUUUCGUGCCGCUCCGUCACCCCUUCACAGCGGCGCAGGUGGCCAAAGCCUUUUGGGACAACAUAGUUAAAAUCCAUGGGGUGCCGGCCUCAAUUGUGUCUGAUAGAGACAAGGUCUUCACCAGCGCUCUCUAG